rnacentral:rRNA from 2 species
GUUGAUAGGCCGGGUGUGUAAGCGCAGCGAUGCGUUGAGCUAACCGGUACUAAUGACCCGUGAGGCUUAACCUU